rnacentral:rRNA from 1 species
UCGGGAAUUUUGGGCAAUGGGGGAAACCCUGACCCAGCAACGCCGCGUGCGGGAAGAAGGCCUUCGGGUUGUAAACCGCUUUUGUCAGGGAAGAAACGCUCUGGGCUAAUACCCUGGGGUAAUGACGGUACCUGAAGAAUAAGCACCGGCUAACUACGUGCCAGCAGCCGCGGUAAUACGUAGGGUGCAAGCGUUAAUCGGAAUUACUGGGCGUAAAGCGUGCGCAGGCGGUUAUGCAAGACAGAUGUGAAAUCCCCGGGCUCAACCUGGGAACUGCAUUUGUGACUGUAUAGCUAGAGUACGGUAGAGGGGGAUGGAAUUCCGCGUGUAGCAGUGAAAUGCGUAGAUAUGCGGAGGAACACCGAUGGCGAAGGCAAUCCCCUGGACCUGUACUGACGCUCAUGCACGAAAGCGUGGGGAGCAAACAGGAUUAGAUACCCAUGUAGUCCCUGAGCGGGCUGGCAAGGCG